CCGGGAUCAUGCCAUUGCCCACCAGCCUGGGUGACAGAGUGAGACUCUGUCUCAAAAAAAAAAAAAAAAAAAAAGAAAGGAAAGGAAAGCAAGCAAGCAAGCAAGAAAGAAAGAAAGAAGAAAUCCCUUGAAUGUCCAAUCGUGAAUGUUAAACACAUGAUGAAAAGGUUAGAGAGAAACUAUCUGAUAGCUUGCUAUGUGGCAUUCAUUCACUUAUUUAUUCAUUCAACAAAUGUUCAUUGAGAACCUACUUUGUGCCUAUCUGAAAUCCAAGCCCUAGGAACACAGAUAUGAAUAAAAGAAGAACUCUCCCUUAUCACAGCUUAUAGUUUAGUGGGAGAUGUGUGUGUGCAUGUGUGUGUGUGUCGCAACUUUAGAUAAGCCAGUCAGAGUAGACUUUUAUUGAUCAAUAGCCCCUAAAGACCUCUAUUGGAAACAGUUGCACAAACAACCAGAAUGCCACUGGAAGGACACAAGGGAUAAGUAUGGGAUUGGAGCCCUUACCAAGGUCUUCAAAGGAAUUUCAAGAUCUGUGCAUGGUGAUAAAUGGUCUGUAUGUCUUGACUUUGGAGAAGGAGGCCUUUUGUAAAAAUAGGAGCAUAGUUUAAUAAUAUAAACCUGAAGGCAGAAGGGCAAAUCCCUGAAGAAUAUGAUGAUUUAUACAAGUUAGAGCUUGCUGCCCAAGAAGAGCAAAAUGAUGCCCCAGGGGUCACCUCUGUGCUGGGCAGUUCUCUGAGGAUGCAGUUGGGAGCUGGGAAAUCCAUCUGAGUGAGCACAGCACAUGUCCAUCCUCAUCACUGCAUCCCUGCUAUUUAGGAAGGAGAAGACUUUCUUGUGGAAGCAAGAGCCAAAAAGUUGCUUCUCUCUGUGCAGCAAAGGCAAGAUGAGAGAGCAAUGGCUCCCAG
rnacentral:lncRNA from 10 species